ACUAGCAUAAUAUAGUAGAACAAAUCAUGUCUAUCAUUGAACUCAUAUUUUUCUUCCAUGUCUCCAUUGCAAAUCAGAUGUAAAAUUUUCUCCAAAGAUGGGUCUAAAGUUUCUUGUUCUGCCAUGAUUGAACUUUAAAGCAUCACAUUAGAGAUAUAGAAUGACUAUGAAAGAAGUUUUUGAUGGAAAAGAAAAGAGAGAAUCAAAAAAAGUUUUGAAGUUUUACUGUUUUCGAAUGUUUUCUUCACCAUACUUGGGUCGCUUUAUUAGUUCUCCUCCUCAUGUGGGUUGUAGUCGAGCUUAUUAGUUCUCCUCCUCACUCUGUGUUUGUGGGUGGUAGUCGAGGCUUCUUCAUCUGGAGAAGGCCUUCUUCAUUCCUAAGAAGAAAAGGUCCAGUCUUUCUAUUUCUAUCUGUAUAGAAGCAGUAACACACGCAAAUUCUAUUAAUUUUUCUCAAUUCGUCAUCUUUCAGCUCCAAGUUUGAAGACUCUACUGGGGUGAGCUCACUCAAAACUGAGGAGAGUGCUCGAUUUAUACAUGUUUCUGAUCAAAAUGGGAGCUUGUUGUCUUCGAUUGGAAAUUCAACCAACAUUCAGUGGCACCAGUGCUCAGUGAAGAAAGAAGGUUGACAGUGUCAACAAACAUGGAAUUCUCCUAGAUGUUGUCCAAGUGCUUGCAGAUAUGAACCUUGUAACAAAAGCUUAUAUCAACGUCAUAUGGAGUAUGGUUCAUGAACUUUUUUUUUAUUCAACAUCCCAUGUCAGCUCAUCUUCCCCUCACUAUCUUCCCUUUUUGCUAAGAAUUGUUGUAAGUACUUGAACAGAUUGUUCUAAUGUUUACUGUCAAGUAGUCAGAGGGUUGUAGUAUCUUGUUCUGAAGAUGAAAUGAUACUCUUUUGUUAAGCCAAAUUAUUUUAAGGUCAGUUGCGUAUUGCUUCUUGGGUACGUUUAUAUCCCAGGUAAAACUCAAUUCACUUGAAAGCUCCGUUAAUCAUACCCAAUGAGUUAUGCUUUUGAUUUGUUGGAAGAUGCAUGGAUCCUUCAAUCAUGUUCUAAACCCUGUUUUACGGAUUUUGUAGCUAUGGAUUUUAUGAUAUUUUUGCCUGGAAUUUAAUCAUUGAUUUGUUGCUUGAUAGUGUGUCUUUUUUCCAUUAAUAUAUUCUUUCUUUCUGAAAUUUAUGUUUUGAAGCUUUAAUGGAAUUUGGCAAUAUUCUAGUCCCCUGAUUGCUUGAUAGGGGUUAGGAUUGCUGAUAUUAUGUGCUCAAAUCCUCUUUGUGGGUACUUAAAGUUAUAGCCUUUAUGCAAUAGCCUUGGGUUUGUUGCUGGGUUUCUGUUUAACUUUAAUUUUAUGGGAUUUGGAAAUAUUCUGUAGCUGUAAUACCAGAUUCAUGUGACUAAACACCACCUAUAUUUCAGCUCAAUAUGUGCUGAAUGGGUGAUUAUGGAACAUGGAUGACACCCAAGACAUAAUUUUUUUCUGUCCAAAUCAAUGACUACUGCUUUUGAUCUUCACUGCCAUUAUCUAUUGCUUUUGAAAGGAAAUGGGGGAUUUGGUACUGUCUACAAGGUGAAUUCAUAUUGUAAUUGAUAACUUUCAUGUGACUAAACACCACCUAUAUUUCAGCUCAAUAUGUGCUGAAUGGGUGAUUAUGGAACAUGGAUGACACCCAAGACAUAAUUUUUUUCUGUCCAAAUCAAUGACUACUGCUUUUGAUCUGCACUGCCAUUAUCUAUUGCUUUUGAAUGGAAAUGGGGGAUUUGGUACUGUCUACAAGGUGAAUUCAUAUUGUAAUUGAUAAGCAUGUCUGAAAAUAUUAAGGUGAUCUGAAUGUCAGGAUCAGUUGAGUAAUUCUGUUAUGUUGCAGGCCGGACUUGUGAAUAAAGAGAGAAGCAAAACGAGGCGAGUUUAAGUGGAGUUACUAGCAAAAGAUGUCAUAUGAAACCAUUGUACAAGAAGUUGAUUAUAACUUUAUAAGCUUCUCUUCUCCAGACUAGCUUGUCUUUUUGUUGACCCACUAGGAUUUUGGUGUGUUAAAUCUUAAAACUAUAUGUCAACUUGUUCAAUUUAAUGUAGUAUGGCUUAAUGGAAGAAAGUUAUUAUAUGUAGAUUUGAGGCUUCCUUAGUUUUGAGGCAUGGAAGGAACAAAUGCCUAUAGUGUUUUUAUGUAUGGAUUUGGGAAAUACUCCCUAUUUUAUAUCAAAUUAUUGAAUUCAUUUUAUA